AUUGAACGCUGGCGGCAGGCUUAACACAUGCAAGUCGAGCGGAGAGAGGUAGCUUGCUACUGAUCUUAGCGGCGGACGGGUGAGUAAUGCUUAGGAAGCUGCCUAUUAGUGGGGGACAACAUCUCGAAAGGAAUGCUAAUACCGCAUACGUCCUCCGAGGGAAAGCCGGGGACCUUCGACCCCUGCGCUCACAGAUGAGCCUAAGUCGGAUUGGCUAGUUGGUGGGGUAAAGGCCUACCAAGGCGACGAUCUGUAGCGGGUCUGAGAGGAUGAUCCGCCACACUGGGACUGAGACACGGCCCAGACUCCUACGGGAGGCAGCAGUGGGGAAUAUUGGACAAUGGGCGGAAGCCUGAUCCAGCCAUGCCGCGUGUGUGAAGAAGGCCUUUUGGUUGUAAAGCACUUUAAGCGAGGAGGAGGCUACCUGGAUUAAUACUCUAGGAUAGUGGACGUUACUCGCAGAAUAAGCACCGGCUAACUCUGUGCCAGCAGCCGCGGUAAGAC
rnacentral:rRNA from 1 species